rnacentral:tRNA from 2 species
GGAGCAGUAUCGAAGUGGUCAUAACGAGCCUGACUCGAAAUCAGGUAGUCCGAAAGGGCCCGUGGGUUCGAAUCCCACCUGCUCCGCCA